AAUACCACCCUUUAAUGUUUGAUGUUCUAACGUUGGCCCCUUACCGGGGUUGCGGACAGUGUCUGGUGGGUAGUUUGACUGGGGCGGUCUCCUCCCAAAGCGUAACGGAGGAGCACGAAGGUUAGCUAAUCCUGGUCGGACAUCAGGAGGUUAGUGCAAUGGCAUAAGCUAGCUUGACUGCGAGCGUGACGGCGCGAGCAGGUGCGAAAGCAGGUCAUAGUGAUCCGGUGGUUCUGAAUGGAAGGGCCAUCGCUCAACGGAUAAAAGGUACUCCGGGGAUAACAGGCUGAUACCGCCCAAGAGUUCAUAUCGACGGCGGUGUUUGGCACCUCGAUGUCGGCUCAUCACAUCCUGGGGCUGAAGUAGGUCCCAAGGGUAUGGCUGUUCGCCAUUUAAAGUGGUACGCGAGCUGGGUUUAGAACGUCGUGAGACAGUUCGGUCCCUAUCUGCCGUGGGCGCUGGAGAAUUGAGGGGGGCUGCUCCUAGUACGAGAGGACCGGAGUGGACGCAUCACUGGUGUUCGGGUUGUCAUGCCAAUGGCACUGCCCGGUAGCUAAAUGCGGAAGAGAUAAGUGCUGAAAGCAUCUAAGCACGAAACUUGCCCCGAGAUGAGUUCUCCCUGAGACUU
rnacentral:rRNA from 1 species